rnacentral:lncRNA from 12 species
CUUUAGAAGCAGCAGUGGGACAGAUAAGAGGAGGUUCUCUUAACACAUCUUCCAAAUUAUAUGGCACCAUCCAAGCCUCCUUUGCCUCCUCCAGAAAUCAGACAACAACUAAAUAUUAGCUGUCUCAAGGAAGACCUUCUGUCCAGGUGGUCAUCAGCAGCAAGAAUGGGACAAAAUACACACUGUAAGGUCCUUUCUGCCCUUUCAUUUCAGCCAGUGGUAUUCCAGCCCUCCCAGCAUGUUUU